GAAUGUCAUGUAUGUGGCUUCCACAUGUCUCUCCCCACAACUCCAAGCUUAAUUUGGCUGCUCUGGCUAAGCAGGUUUCUGUUUCCUCUAUCACUGGCCACACAUCUCCUUUCUGCAUCUGUUACUUUGUCAAAGGGGAUGUUCUUCCCAAACAUUGGGGAACUUUUUUCUGCAAACUAUAUAUGAGCAGUUAGGCUGCCUUUGUAGGACCUCCACACAUGUUCUCAGGCACAUUUGUGGGAGAACAUGGAGAGAAUUGCCAGAGAGAAGAAAGCCUUCAUAGCUCAUAGAGUUAU
rnacentral:sRNA from 1 species